AUGACAAGGACCUAUGGAAGAAUGGACUGAAAGAAUCCCAAAGGUUGACAUUGACACUAGUCCUUCUAUAAAGAAAAACUAUGACAUCUGUCGGAUUUCAUGUUUGUUGAUAGAACUGAGACCCGAAAAAGAAGUGAGCAAAAAAGUAGGAGAACGAGUAUGUGAAGCAAUCUUGUUUUACCGGGAGGAGUCAAGCGACAAAGUGUCAGCACAUGUCAUGAAUAAAGGAAGAGCAGUCUAUUCUAAAGUUUCACACAGUUAGAAUGCCGACUUCCACUGUGGUAGUGUGCACAGCCGUCAUUUCAGCAUGGAGGAGGAGGGUAAGGCAGGAGGCCCGAGUUCAAGGCCAGCCUGACUACGGAGCAAGACUCUUUCUGAACAACAACAAAAACAGCAGCAA
rnacentral:lncRNA from 1 species